rnacentral:rRNA from 1 species
UACGUAGGGUGCAAGCGUUUGUCCGGAAUUAUUGGGCGUAAAGAGCUCGUAGGCGGCCUGUUACGUCUGCUGUGAAAUCCCGGGGCUUAACCCCGGGCGUGCAGUGGAUACGGGCAGGCUGGAGGCAGGCAGGGGAGAACGGAAUUCCCGGUGUAGCGGUGAAAUGCGCAGAUAUCGGGAGGAACACCGGUGGCGAAGGCGGCUACCUGGACAGAUACUGACACUGGGGCGCGAAAGCGUGGGGAGCAAACAGG